rnacentral:rRNA from 1 species
AUGGAGGCGCGGCCGCCGGUGUUGGCCAUUGUCGUCGUCGCGCUGUGCGUUGUAUCCAUCUGCGGCGGUGUGGCCCACGGCGCGGCGGUCACCUACAACGUCAAGAACUAUGGCGCUAAAGGCAACGGCGCCACCGACGACACCAAGGCGCUAAUGGCGGCGUGGAAGGUGGCGUGCGCGGCGGCCGGCGCGGUGACGCUGCAGGUCCCGGCGGGGGUAUACUACAUGGGCCCGGCGCAGUUCCACGGCCCCUGCAAGGCCUCCUCCCUCACCUUCUUGCUCCAGGGUACGCUGAAGGCGGCGACGGAUCUGAGCCGCUUCGGCAACGACUGGAUCGAGUUCGGGUGGGUGAAGGGCCUCAUCGUCGCCGGCCAGAACGGCGCCGCUUUCGAUGGCCAGGGCGCCGCCUCCUGGCCCUUCAACAAGUGCCCCAUCCGAAAGGACUGCAAGGUCCUCCCCACCAGCGUGUUGUUCGUGAACAACGAGAACACGGUGGUGAAGGACAUCUCGUCGGUGAACAGCAAGUUCUUCCACUUCGCGCUGCUGCAGAACAAGAACACCCAGAUGAUCAACCUGCGGAUCAACGCGCCGGGGAACAGCCCCAACACGGACGGCGUCCACAUCGAGCGCUGCUCCGGGGUGACCAUCGUCGACACCAAGAUCAGCACCGGCGACGACUGCAUCUCCAUCGGCCAGGGGAACGACAACAUCGACAUCCAGCGCGUCACCUGCGGCCCCGGCCACGGCAUGAGCGUGGGCAGCCUGGGGCGGUACGUCGGGGAGGGGGACGUGACCCGCGUGCACGUCAAGGACAUGACCUUCGACGGCACCAUGAACGGGGUGCGGAUCAAGACGUGGGAGAACUCGCCCACCAAGAGCCUGGCGGCGCACAUGGUGUUCGAGAGCCUGGUGAUGAAGGACGUGCAGAACCCGGUGAUCAUCGACCAGAAGUACUGCCCCUACUACAACUGCGAGCACAAGUACGUGUCCGGGGUCACCAUCAAGAACGUCACCUUCAAGAACAUCAAGGGCACCUCGUCGCUGCCCGUCGCCGUGCUGCUCCGCUGCGGCAUGCCGUGCCUGGGCGUCGUGCUCCAGGACCUCGACCUCAAGUUCAAGGGCGCCGGCACCACAUCGUCCAAGUGCGAGAACGCCAAGGCAAAGUACGUCGGCUACAUGUACCCCAAGCCGUGCGUAUAG